AUUGAACGCUGGCGGCAGGCCUAACACAUGCAAGUCGAACGAGUGGCGGACGGGUGAGUAAUGUCUGGGAAACUGCCUGAUGGAGGGGGAUAACUACUGGAAACGGUAGCUAAUACCGCAUACCAUCGGAUGUGCCCAGAUGGGAUUAGCUAGUAGGUGGGGUACCGGCUCACCUAGGCGAGGAUCCCUAGCUGGUCGGAGAGGAUGACAGUCCAACCUGGAACGUAGACACGGUCAAGGCUCCUACGGGAGGCAGCAGUGGGGAAUAUUGCACAAUGGGCGCAAGCCUGAUGCAGCCAGGCCGCGUGUAUGAAGAAGGCCUUCGGGUUGUAAAGUACUUUCAGCGGGGAGGCGUUACCCGCAGAAGAAGCACCGGCUAACUCCGUGCCAGCCGCCGCGGUAAUUC
rnacentral:rRNA from 1 species